AUUGAACGCUGGCGGCAUGCCUUACACAUGCAAGUCGAACGGCAGCACGGGAGCAAUCCUGGUGGCGAGUGGCGAACGGGUGAGUAAUAUAUCGGAACGUGCCCAGUCGUGGGGGAUAACGCAGCGAAAGCUGUGCUAAUACCGCAUACGAUCUAAGGAUGAAAGCGGGGGAUCGCAAGACCUCGCGCGAUUGGAGCGGCCGAUAUCAGAUUAGCUAGUUGGUGGGGUAAAGGCCCACCAAGGCGACGAUCUGUAGCUGGUCUGAGAGGACGACCAGCAACACUGGAACUGAGACACGGUCCAGACCCCUACGGGAGGCAGCAGUGGGGAAUUUUGGACAAUGGGCGCAAGCCUGAUCCAGCAAUGCCGCGUGCAGGAUGAAGGCCUUCGGGUUGUAAACUGCUUUUGUACGGAACGAAACGGCCCUUUCUAAUACAGGGGGCUAAUGACGGUACCGUAAGAAUAAGCACCGGCUAACUACGUGCCAGCCGCCGCCGUAA
rnacentral:rRNA from 1 species